GACGAACGCUGGCGGCGUGCCUAAUACAUGCAAGUCGAACGAAGUGGCGAACGGGUGAGUAAUACGUGGGUAACCUGCCCUACUUUUUGGGAUAAGCCUUGGAAACGGGGUCUAAUACCGAAUAAAGGGGGAUGGGCUCGCGGCCUAUCAGCUUGAUGGUGGGGUGAUGGCCUACCAAGGCGGUGACGGGUAGCCGGCCUGAGAGGUGGCCCGGCCACAGUGGGACUGGGACACGGCCCAGACUCCUCCGGGAGGCAGCAGUGGGGGAUAUUGCACAAUGGGCGAACGCCUGAUGCAGCGACUCCGCGUGGGGGAUGAAGGCUUUCGGGUUGUAAACCUCUUGCGCUAUCGAACGGUUAGGUGGAGAAGAAGCGCCGGCUAACUACGUGCCAGCAGCCGCGGUAAUUC
rnacentral:rRNA from 1 species